GACGAACCGAGCGAACGUUGUUCGGAAUCACUGGGCUUAAAGGGCGCGUAGGCGGGUUCUCAAGUCCGGGGUGAAAUCCCACAGCUCAACUGUGGAACUGCCUCGGAUACUGGGUGCCUCGAGGGUGGUAGGGGUAUGCGGAACUAUCGGUGGAGCGGUGAAAUGCGUUGAUAUCGAUAGGAACUCCGGUGGCGAAGGCGGCAUACUGGACCACAUCUGACGCUGGGGCGCGAAAGCCAGGGGAGCGAACGGG
rnacentral:rRNA from 1 species